rnacentral:rRNA from 1 species
CCUACGGGAGGCAGCAGUGAGGAAUAUUGGUCAAUGGGCGGACGCCUGAACCAGCCAAGUCGCGGGAGGGAAGACUGCCCUAUGGGUUGUAAACCUCUUUUGUCAGGGAGCAAGUGGCGCUACGUGUAGCGUUAUCGAGAGUACCUGAAGAAAAAGCAGCGGCUAACUCCGUGCCAGCAGCCGCGGUAAUACGGGGGAUGCGAGAGUUAUCCGGAUUUAUGGGGUUGAAAGGGUGCGUAGGCGGAAUGCCAAGUCAGCGGUAAAAUCGCGGGGCUCAACCUCGCUCCGCCGUUGAAACUGGCGUUCUUGAGUGGGCGUGAGGUCUGCGGAAUGCGUGGUGUAGCGGUGAAAUGCAUCGCUCUCACGCAGAACUCCGAUUGCGAAGGCAGCAUACCGGCGCCCAACUGACGCUGACGCACGAAAGCGUGGGUAUCGAACAGGAUUAGAUCCCCGGGUAGUC